UCCUGUGUCAACAGCUGAACCAUCCCACUGGAGCUUUCUCACAUCUGUUUCUUCUGGAGUAUCAUCUCUCCUAGCCUUACUGUUUUUGAUCACAGUGCAGUGAGCUGCCUUACUCCCUGGCAGCAAGAGAGAUUCCUUCAUUGCUGAGGCACUUCACUGGAGAAUAACUGAGACCCUUUUCCUAAGCCAGGAGACUGUUACAGAUCCUGCUAGCUGGGACUGAAACUCAUUAUUUCAAGGCAAAGUGUCAGCGUGUGGAAAAGCAUGGCCACUCUUAGCUUGCAGGCACAUAGACUAUGACCAAAAGAACCCAAUUUAACUGCAGUUUGUGCACCAUAUGUGAUUUCACUAGGAGUAGAUGAGGACUUGAGCUGCUUCACUGUGUUUUCACUCACCAUCAGGAUCUGCAGGAGCCAAGAGAGCAUUUACUGGGGAUAAUUUUCAACAAUCUCCUGUAAUGCUCACAUGCCAGGUAGGAAAAGCCAAAAGAUUGGGUGUGCAACACAUCUGCAGCCCCUGGUGAUGAGGACGAGGUUUCCGAUAAGUGGAAAAAAGGAUAACAAGUUUAGAAAUGUUUCCAUUGGAACUUCCACGGAAUGGUUUAUCGUCAGCAAGAGGCGGGUGGUGUCAUUUAGAUUUGAUUUUCCGUUUUCUGAUUAGAAAAGAGGAAGCUGUGCUGUUUUCUGACAAAAAAAAAAAACCAACAAAAGUUACAUUCCAGAAAUUGGCAGUUCUGUAAAAUGUCCUUCCCCUGGAAAAAAAAAAAUCUACCAUUAAGAAGGCCAAAUAACAACAACCUGGAUUUCAAAAGCCAAAUUCAUUUCCAUUAUCCAUUCUCUUCCAAAAUGGGAAAACAUUUAGUGGGAAAUUUUAGCAAGAGCAACCGUGUGCAUCCUGGAAAUCCUGAUAUUUACCAGGCAUAAAAAUAAGUUAAUAAUACAAAAAAAAAAGCCAUAUUUUGGCCAGCUCUUUCAGGAAGAGAAAGGAGUUCUGUGCAGCCCAAAAUGUUUGUCCACAUCCCUGAAGCUGGUUGGGAAUGGAGGGAAAGGAUGAAGGCUCGGAUCAUUUCCUUGUGCGCUCCUAUGGGCUCGCUUAGCUUCCUGUUAUUGUCUUCGCUCUGCUCCCACCCACUCUGCCCAACAGAUCUGCAGGGAUGCAGGACCCAGCUUGGCAUCGGGCUCCAAAAAAGCUGGCUGGCUACCUUCCCUCAAGAUCGUUCACCCAGUGACAGUGAGCUGGCAGCAACUUCCCAGAUUGACUUGUAGCCUGACCUGAAGCUUUCUUCCUGCCCAAGGUGAAAGAAGAAGGAAGAGCAUCUAUGUUUUAUUGAGAAUAGGUUUCUUUGGCAAGGUUGGUCUAAAUCAGUGGGCAUGUUGGUAUAGUCUGGCUAUUUCUUAUGUAAAAUGAAUUUGUGAGUUUGGGUGCUAAAAGAGAGACGACUUCUACUCUAGAAAAGGAAAUAAUGCAGCCAGAUUAGCUCGAGGAAUGUGGCAGUCUUCUCUUCUUCUCCGGACAAGCUAUGGCAGUGCAGUCCAACCAGCCACUCCAAGGAUGCUGUUGGUGACCACAUGCUGCCAUGGGGCCACUGUGCAUUGCCUCACAGCAGCUCUGCUCGGGCCUGGAUCCAUUGCCAUUCCUGCAGGAAUCUCUCUCUUUUCUUCAAAACCAGAGCCCGUGUCGGGAAGUGUUCAGGAAACAGGGGCAACUUCGGUCCUUUCUUUUCUGGGCAGCGUUAACAGCUCCACAGCCCAAAGAAUUUGUCUUGCAAUCCCCUCUGUGGCUCAGCUUUCAAUUCUCUAUUCAACCAGCAUGAAUGAAACGAAGCCUUUAUUUGCAUUCUCUUCAAAUUGCCCUUCACCGCUAGCAUGAGACCUUUGGAAGUUUGUUGCAGGGAACAGCAGAGCCAAGAUAUUUGAGCUGGGCAUGAUGCCCCACCGCUACUGCAAAAAAUAAAAUAAAAAAAAUCACUUCAAAGCAACUGCUGAGU
ensembl:lncRNA